GGAGAGAUGGCUCUGUGGUUAAGAGCACUGCCUACAUUUCCAGAGGUCCUGGGUUAAAUUCCCAGUAUCCUCC
rnacentral:tRNA from 1 species